UUCCAGACUCCUACGGGAGGCAGCAGUGAGGAAUAUUGGUCAAUGGGCGGAAGCCUGAACCAGCCAAGUCGCGUGAGGGAAGAAGGCCCUGCGGGUCGCAGACCUCUUUGGACGGGGAGCAAGGCCGCCGACGUGUCGGCGGAAGGAGAGUACCCGUAGAACAAGCAUCGGCUAACUCCGUGCCAGCAGCCGCGGUAAUACGUAGGGGGCAAGCGUUAUCCGGAAUCACUGGGUGUAAAGGGAGCGUAGACGGCUGAGCAAGCCUGAAGUGAAAGGCGGGGGCCCAACCCCCGGACUGCUCUGGAAACUGUUGUACUUGAGUGCAGGAGAGGUAAGUGGAAUUCCUAGUGUAGCGGUGAAAUGCGUAGAUAUUAGGAGGAACACCAGUGGCGAAGGCGGCUUACUGGACUGUAACUGACGUUGAGGCUCGAAAGCGUGGGGAGCAAACAGGAUUAGAUACCCCGGUA
rnacentral:rRNA from 1 species